CUUCAAUAAAAGAUGUUUAUGGUUGUGUGAAGUCAAUCAUGCCAGAGUCCCAGGUCUUUGUGAGGAACAAAGAAAAAAUGGAAUCAAAGUGUGAAAUAACCUUGGAAAAUCUCAGGAGAGAGGAUGUUAGAAUCACUCUGUGGGGCGAUAAUGCCAGACAAUUUGAUGUACAAGCUGUACAAAAUCGUUCUCCACCGAUCUUAGCAGUAUUUACAAGCUUGCGGAUUACUGAAUUCCAACAACGAAUCACAUUGUCUGGAACGAAUAAUACCUGCAUGAUUGUAGACCCGCAAAUUCCUUAAAGACAAGAAUACAGAAAUGAAUUCUCCAAGCCAGGUGACAAAGUAAAGAUUCUUGCUAUCCCAUUUAAACAGGCAACUCAAGAAGAGCUCAAAGAUCGACAAAAAAAAACAGUAUCAGAAUUGAACAUGCUUAAUCCACGCCUGUACAACAGCAAGCCAGUUUGCUGCAGUGCUAAAAUCGCUAGAUUCUCGACACACAAUAGCUGGUGGUAUAACGGUUGUCCAAUCUGCUGCAAGCAGCUUCGACAGAAACAAAAUUCUAAUGAAAUGAGUUGUAUUAAACAUGAAACACAACAGCCUUUGCCAUGUUACAGAGUAUACGUAACAAUCGAAGACCGGGAAAAUGAAGCCAUACUGAUUGUAAUGGGAGAAGCAGCUGAACAACUCUUUGGCAAUACCUGUCCAGAAUUACUAAACAAACAACAAGAACCUACAAGACAAGCAUUGCCAAAGGAGAUUGAAAAUACAAUAGGCCAACAAUACCUCUUCGAGAUUCAACCAAAAUCUCAUGGUGAACUGAUUGUGAAAUCUGUUUCUCCAGAUCCACAAAGUUUUGUAGCAGUAUCAGAACAACAUCCAACAACCGCAACACCAGAUCGUCCUAGCACAGAAAGAAAAAGAACAGUGGAAACAAGUAAGAAAGCACUCUUCACCACUGAACAAGAGAAAAAAAGCAAAAGGCAAUCCCGGCAUCAAGGAACUACAUCAUCAUCCCUUCAAAGCGAGCAACAUGAAACACAAACAAGUCGCUGAACAAGAAUCCGAUCUCUCUGUGUUUGUAACAUAUAUUAUAUUAACUUAUUUCUUUUAGUUACAGCUGUGCUGACUACUUUUGCUUUUGUAUAAUUGUAGUCAGCGAAUCAACUGAAAAGCAGCUAGAACAAUUAUUUUUUUGGGUAAAUUCUGCUGCAUUUUUUAUCACUGAAUUUCAGUUGAUUCUACAGCCAAGCAGUGGGAGCAAUUAAUUUUUUGAAGUACUACUCAAGUAAGUUUUGCUCCACUGAAUGUACUGUAACAAAAAUGUAAAAAGGCAAAACAUUGUACUCUCUCA